UGGGGAAUAUUGCGCAAUGGGCGAAAGCCUGACGCAGCGACGCCGCGUGAGGGAUGAAGGUUUUCGGAUCGUAAACCUCUGUCAGAAGGGAAGAAACCGCACUGUGCUAAUCAGCAGUGCCUUGACGGUACCUUCAAAGGAAGCACCGGCUAACUCCGUGCCAGCAGCCGCGGUAAUACGGAGGGUGCAAGCGUUAAUCGGAAUUACUGGGCGUAAAGCGCACGUAGGCUGCUUUGUAAGUCAGGGGUGAAAUCCCACGGCUCAACCGUGGAACUGCCUUUGAUACUGCUUAGCUUGAAUCCGGGAGAGGGUGGCGGAAUUCCAGGUGUAGGAGUGAACUCCGAAGAUAUCUGGAGGAACAUCAGUGGCGAAGGCGGCCACCUAGACCGGUAUUGACGCUGAGGUGCGAAAGCGUGGGUUGCAAACAGG
rnacentral:rRNA from 1 species